UACAGAGGUCCCAAGCGUUGUUCGGAUUCACUGGGCGUAAAGGGUGCGUAGGUGGUCGGGUAAGUCUGAUGUGAAAUCUCGGAGCUCAACUCCGAAACGGCAUUGGAUACUAUUCGGCUUGAGGGUUGGAGGGGGGACUGGAAUUCUCGGUGUAGCAGUGAAAUGCGUAGAUAUCGAGAGGAACACCAGUGGCGAAGGCGAGUCCCUGGACAACUCCUGACACUGAGGCACGAAAGCUAGGGGAGCAAACAGG
rnacentral:rRNA from 1 species